rnacentral:tRNA from 1 species
GCAGCCUCUAGGUCAGGCGGGUUCCGGCGCUCACCUCGCCGACCGGCUGGGCCUCCACGGCCGUCGGUUCGGGCCGUGAAGCGGCC